rnacentral:tRNA from 1 species
GGAGAGAUGGCUGAGUGGUUUAAGGCGAGUGUUUGGAAAAUGCUUUUAGUAAAUCUUACUAACGUGGGUUCGAAUCCCGCUCUCUCCG